rnacentral:rRNA from 1 species
GAGAGAUAUAGGGAGCAAAAGAAGGACUUGCAUAUGGUGUUCAUUGACUUGGAGAAGGCCUAUGAUAAGAUACCGCGGAAUGUCAUGUGGUGGGUCUUGGAGAAACACAAAGUCCCAGCAAAGUACAUUACCCUCAUCAAGGACAUGUACGAUAAUGUUGUGACAAGUGUUCGAACAAGUGAUGUCGACACUGAUGACUUCCCAAUUAAGAUAGGACUGCAUCAGGGGUCAGCUUUGAGCCCUUAUCUUUUUGCAUUGGUGAUGGAUGAAGUCACAAGGGAUAUACAAGGAGAUAUCCCAUGGUGUAUGCUCUUUGCGGGUGAUGUGGUGCUAGUUGACGAUAGUCGGACGGGGGUAAAUAAGAAGUUAGAGUUAUGGAGACAAACCUUGGAAUCGAAAGGGUUUAGGCUUAGUAGAACUAAAACCGAGUACAUGAUGUGCGGUUUCAGUACUACUAGGUGUGAGGAGGAGGUUAGCCUUGAUGGCCAGGUGGUACCUCAGAAGGACACCUUUCGGUAUUUGGGGUCAAUGCUGCAGGAGGAUGGGGGUAUUGAUGAAGAUGUGAACCAUCGAAUCAAAGCCGGAUGGAUGAAGUGGUGCCAAGCUUCUGGCAUUCUCUGUGACAAGAGAGUGCCACAAAAGCUAAAAGGCAAGUUCUACAGGAUGGCGGUUCGACCCGCAAUGUUGUAUGGCGCUGAGUGUUGGCCGACUAAAAGGCGACAUGUUCAACAGUUAGGUGUGGCGGAGAUGCGUAUGUUGAGAUGGAUGUGUGGCCACACGAGGAAGGCUCGAGUCCGGAAUGAUGAUAUACGAGAUAGAGUUGGGGUAGCACCAAUUGAAGAGAAGCUUGUCCAACAUCGUCUGAGAUGGUUUGGGCAUAUUCAGCGCAGGCCUCCAGAAGCUCCGAUGCAUAGUGGACGGCUAAAGCGUGCGGAGGAUGUCAAG